UCCAAUAAUCCACCACUUGAGGUGACUGCCUCACCUUGCCUCAUGGAAGGGCCGCCCCUCUCUACUAGAGUCAAACAUUUCCGCCUUCACCCCAGCGCUAUAGCAGCUACUGCCCUUCCCCAGCUGAUGGUAAGCAGAUAUUUUAUGGCAGGAAGGAAAAGGAGGAGGCUGCAGGAAAGGGAUGAAGCUGAGAGAAUUCAUUUUGAGAAGUGCUUCAUGAAUCAUCUGGCAUUGUCCAAAAACUCACUGAUUAUACUGUUCAGCCUGAAAUGCAAACACCUACUACCAUCAAGCUGACGCGCUCCUGCCUCCGAAAGGAUUCCAGAACAGAUGAGGAAGCCGAAGCAGACAAGAGUUAGUUAAGAGCUAUUCUUCUAACAGGAAUGGCCAAAUAACUCCCUUCUAUGUUGACACACUGGAUUAGCCUUUGAGCUUAUCACCUUCACAGGAAGGAGUAGAUAAGGUAUAAGGCUCAUCUCUUGGACAGAAGUGUUAAUGGUUGGCUUGAGGCUUGGGAGGAGCACUCAUUAAAAAAAUUUAAAUCACACCCAGGUCUUCCUGACCCAUGAAGAUAAGCUUUAACCCACCCAAUCACUCUGUCCCAUACAAAUUUCCCAAACCUCUCACUCCAUUGUGCUUCAGAGCACACCCACCAAAGACUGAACAGAGGACCCUCACUCUCUAAAACCAGGUCUCACUGAUCGUGAGACUUUCUGCACUUUCUGUCCCAAAGAACCCCCAAAGUUACUUAUAGAAUUUUUGUUUUUGUUUUUUUAAAAAAGACAAAACAUAAAAACUGCUUAAAAUGUACAAACUGCAGCAUCAAUAGAAAAGAGGGGGAAAUGCACAUUAAAAGUACAAUUGUAUUUAGUAGUAGCAAUGUCAAGUCAGCCUGAAGGCCUUCCUAAGCAAAAAGGUUUUCAUUGCUCACCAAAAGCCUCUUUCAGGAAGACAGUCCAUAAUUGUGAAAGGGUGUCUGAAAGGGCCUGGCCUCAUAAGCAAGGGAGUCAAAUUGAAUCUAAAAACCCAAAAUCAGUUCAGAGGGACUUUUUCAACUGAACCGAAACUGAACUCAAAUCUGAAUACUUGAUUGUUUUUCAUUGCAACCAAAACUGCAUCCUACAUGCAAAAAGUUCAAAAUAAGUGGUUCAAUAACUGGGUGCUCCGUUUGCAAUUGUAUGUAUGAUGUCAUGUUUUAUUUUCCUGACUUGUAUCCUAUUUUAUGCGUUUCGUUGGUAUUUAAAACCCUUUAAAAAUAAAUAGUUAUUAGAAAGAAUAAAUAUCUUCUCAAGUUAAAUAGCUACCAUUCGAUUUUAUAGAAUUACAUUCCAAGCUAAAUACAAAUAUGCAUAAGAAUAUGACAAAUAUUUAUAUAUAUUGUUUUUCAACAAAGGUUCCCAGAGUGGUUUGCAUAGAUGAAAAUAAAUAAAAGGGCUCCCUGUCCCCAAAGGGCUCACGAUCUAAAAAGGAACCAUA